UUCUAGAUUCGUAUAUCUUUUGUUCACUAAUAUUCUUCUUUGUAGGAUUAGAAGAAAAAGAUUGUAUAAUUUGUUGAUCUGUUUAAGGUUUGAGCUUUGUGGUAGCAGUGAGUUUGUGAAUGUCGUACCCAGUAUGUGAGGUGGAUCAUGUACAUAUCAUCCUAGUACAGUACAGUAGCCACAUUCAAGAUUGAGAUAAAGAGGAUCUGGGUUCCGGACAGUUGUUACAGUCAAUCGGAAAUCGAGUUACGGUUACUCUCGAAUCGAUGUUACAUGGAAGGAAAGCCUAGAGGGAUGCAGGUCUCAGAUGUUUACCACCUACGUGAAACCCACGAACAUGAAUGAGUAUGGUGCUGACAAACCUAGAAAUCAGGGCUAACCAGGAUUGGAACUGACGAUCAGAUUUCAGGUGUGCCGUCGGGACGCAACACUGCACAGCAAAUUGCGGCGCCUUAGACGAUUGGGCAACCCCUGCCCCAUCAAGUAAAGGAAACAACGUAGAAACAAUCGUACAAGUACGUGAUGAUUAAGAAACGUUCACUUUUAUACUAAAGCUUCCCAAUCUACAUGGGCAUGUAUAUUUAAGAACAUAAGCGAUUCACGCCGUACACUUAUUUGCUUCAGAACUAGCCAGCUCUUCCUCAGAUUCUUGCAUCCCUCUCUUGACUGUUUAUCGUUGGGUCGAAUCCCAGAUUCGCCUUGAUAAUGAUCUUUGGUUUGUCUCAACCAUAUCUGUGCUCAUGGUUUCAGGUUGUAAACAUAUACACCUGCAUAACUGUGGACAUUGCUACCGCAUUGAACUGACACGUCGUGUUUCACCCGAAAUACUGUCAAAAGCAGCGUAAAGACCAUCUCACUCACUCACUCUCACUUGACCGGACUGUAACACUCCCACCUUGUCCUCUGGUCAUUGUUAACUACGAACACUGCUGUACAGCGUCAUGUGUUUUUCUAUGACAGCUGGCCUCGUAUUUCAGUUGACGUCUAACUCCAAAAAACAGAUGUCUUGUUCUUGAUAGAGUGCCAAGGUUCAGACUUGUGUCUCCGUUCUAAAGCACAACUUCUGUUUAUCUUGUCGCCAUUGGAUUCCCGCACAACACCAAGACUAUAUAAAGUCCACUUGGCGUCGAUGACGCUACACCAACAAACAAGCAUGAAGUAUCUCGCUCUUCUCCUGAUCGUCGCCGUCUUCACCCUCAACACUGGCGAGGUGAGCGGCCAGCAGUGUGCGGGUGCCUGCAAGAACGAGGCACAUGGUGGACACGACUUCUGCAUUGCCCAGUGUGCUUCCUGUACACAUGGAGCCCAUUGUGACCAUCACAAUGACGUUUGUAUCUGUCAACAUGCUUAGGAAUAAUCUCCUGGAUAUGGUUUGGUCUGUCUUCAAAAGCAGGAAAUACUUUAAUAAACAAUAUUUUUAAA